CCCAGUCAUAAUAUUCUUUAUCUUGGCUCGUUGUUUGGGGAUGGACGCAUCAAUCUGAUCGCGCUCUCCUCCAUGCCAAAUGGAUCCUUCGUUCGGAGGUGCGCGGUGCCGACGAUGACAACCUUUCUAUCGACGCAAGGGCAGCAGGAGCUCAUGACGCUGUUGAUGCCACCACCAUGCACGGGGUUGAUGCAAGGCGGGACAAGUAUGUAUACCAGGCAAAUGCGAUCACUAAUGGGGAGAACACAAAACUUCAAUUGAGGGCACUGUGAUUCUCUAGCUACAUGUAUCAUAGCUUCUGCAGGAGGGCGUCACCUGCGGCAUCACUUGCAUCGACCUCUCACUGACCACCAUCCCGAGGAUGCACGACAGACUGGCGGAGCAGGGCACCAGUGAUUGUUUCACCAAUUUGCUCGACUCAUAGUUCCCUUCCUCUCUCCACACAACGUUGCCCAUUGUUGCUAAGUUGUUAAUUCAUCAGGCCCAUUAUUGCGGCUACAUAGUCUGUUCAUUUGCCUGCCUUCUUAGGAGAAACCAAUUUACUGAAGGUUGGCAAUUCCGAAGUUAUUGCCUUUCUACUUCAAACUGAAAUAAUUCCUCUUUGUCUUUAAUAUGGAGAUGGGCACUGAACUUUAAAAAACAGUAUGAACUCAACCCCUUCUGUAAAUCAAAUAUUUCAUUUGCGGGGACGAUGUGGGGCUCACGUCGAGCACUUCACAUGCAAUGGGUGUGGCCUUCUCCGUCUGCCAAACAUGCUACAAGUACGAGCACCACGAGGGAACUGCCUGGAGUGCAAGACCCACCACAAGCUCCUCAAGGGUCAGUCAGCCUCCACCCACGGCCGAAGGCACUUGCAUAUGUGAAGAAUAUCCAUGUCCGAUUACAUCGUCAGAAAGCAAAAACCAUGAGAGCCCACACUAAUCAUCAAGGACUAUUUACAUGCCUAUAAUUAGGCCCACCAGUUUGGAUGGCAAACAAUUGCAGCUGCGAAGAAUAGGAUAUCUUCUCGAUCUCAGGGAUCAGCCCAUCUGAUCUUUUGUUUGAUUGGGGUUGCGGUUUUGUUGGGCAUAUAAAUUUGUGCUGGGUAUAUGAUCAUAUUUUUGCUGGCA